rnacentral:rRNA from 1 species
GCCGGAGCGCGACGCUCUCCCCAAGGACGAAGCCAUGCAUGCCCGCUCACCCGGGACGCGGCGGACGGCUCAGGACGACGGUUGCACCCCCCGCGGCGGUCCCUGCUAGCCGGACACCGCUGGCAACCCGGCGCCAAGACGUGCGCGCAAGGGCGGGCGCCCGCGGGCGAGCAGCGUGACGCAGCGACGGCCCGCCCGGGCUUCCGGGGCAUCACCCGGUCGGCGCGGUCGCGGCGCGCCGAGGGCCCGAC